rnacentral:rRNA from 1 species
GGGUUGUGAGGUUAAGCGACUAAGCGUACACGGUGGAUGCCCUGGCAGUCAGAGGCGAUGAAGGACGUGCUAAUCUGCGAAAAGCGUCGGUAAGGUGAUAUGAACCGUUAUAACCGGCGAUGUCCGAAUGGGGAAACCCAGUGCAAUUCGUUGCACUAUCGUUAACUGAAUACAUAGGUUAACGAGGCGAACCGGGGGAACUGAAACAUCUAAGUACCCCGAGGAAAAGAAAUCAACCGAGAUUCCCCCAGUAGCGGCGAGCGAACGGGGAGCAGCCCAGAGUCUGAAUCAGCUUGUGUGUUAGUGGAACGGUCUGGAAAGUCCGACGGUACAGGGUGAUAGUCCCGUACACCAAAAUGCACAGGCUGUGAACUCGAAGAGUAGGGCGGGACACGUGGUAUCCUGUCUGAAUAUGGGGGGACCAUCCUCCAAGGCUAAAUACUCCUGACUGACCGAUAGUGAACCAGUACCGUGAGGGAAAGGCGAAAAGAACCCCGGCGAGGGGAGUGAAAAAGAACCUGAAACCGUGUACGUACAAGCAGUGGGAGCACCUUCGGGUGUGACUGCGUACCUUUUGUAUAAUGGGUCAGCGACUUAUAUUCUGUAGCAAGGUUAACCGUAUAGGGGAGCCGCAGGGAAACCGAGUCUUAACUGGGCGUUAAGUUGCAGGGUAUAGACCCGAAACCCGGUGAUCUAGCCAUGGGCAGGUUGAAGGUUGGGUAACACUAACUGGAGGACCGAACCGACUAAUGUUGAAAAAUUAGCGGAUGACUUGUGGCUGGGGGUGAAAGGCCAAUCAAACCGGGAGAUAGCUGGUUCUCCCCGAAAGCUAUUUAGGUAGCGCCUCGUGAACUCAUCUUCGGGGGUAGAGCACUGUUUCGGCUAGGGGGUCAUCCCGACUUACCAACCCGAUGCAAACUACGAAUACCGAAGAAUGUUAUCACGGGAGACACACGGCGGGUGCUAACGUCCGUCGUGAAGAGGGAAACAACCCAGACCGCCAGCUAAGGUCCCAAAGUCAUGGUUAAGUGGGAAACGAUGUGGGAAGGCACAGACAGCCAGGAUGUUGGCUUAGAAGCAGCCAUCAUUUAAAGAAAGCGUAAUAGCUCACUGGUCGAGUCGGCCUGCGCGGAAGAUGUAACGGGGCUAAACCAUGCACCGAAGCUGCGGCAGCGACACUAUGUGUUGUUGGGUAGGGGAGCGUUCUGUAAGCCUGCGAAGGUGACCUGUGAGGGUUGCUGGAGGUAUCAGAAGUGCGAAUGCUGACAUAAGUAACGAUAAAGCGGGUGAAAAGCCCGCUCGCCGGAAGACCAAGGGUUCCUGUCCAACGUUAAUCGGGGCAGGGUGAGUCGACCCCUAAGGCGAGGCCGAAAGGCGUAGUCGAUGGGAAACAGGUUAAUAUUCCUGUACUUGGUGUUACUGCGAAGGGGGGACGGAGAAGGCUAUGUUAGCCGGGCGACGGUUGUCCCGGUUUAAGCAUGUAGGCUGGUUAUCCAGGCAAAUCCGGAUAAUCAAGGCUGAGGUGUGAUGACGAGGCACUACGGUGCUGAAGUAACAAAUGCCCUGCUUCCAGGAAAAGCCUCUAAGCAUCAGGUAACAUUAAAUCGUACCCCAAACCGACACAGGUGGUCAGGUAGAGAAUACCAAGGCGCUUGAGAGAACUCGGGUGAAGGAACUAGGCAAAAUGGUGCCGUAACUUCGGGAGAAGGCACGCUGGUGUGUAGGUGAAGUCCCUGCGGAUGGAGCUGAGACCAGUCGAAGAUACCAGCUGGCUGCAACUGUUUAUUAAAAACACAGCACUGUGCAAACACGAAAGUGGACGUAUACGGUGUGACGCCUGCCCGGUGCCGGAAGGUUAAUUGAUGGGGUUAUCCGUAAGGAGAAGCUCUUGAUCGAAGCCCCGGUAAACGGCGGCCGUAACUAUAACGGUCCUAAGGUAGCGAAAUUCCUUGUCGGGUAAGUUCCGACCUGCACGAAUGGCGUAAUGAUGGCCAGGCUGUCUCCACCCGAGACUCAGUGAAAUUGAACUCGCUGUGAAGAUGCAGUGUACCCGCGGCAAGACGGAAAGACCCCGUGAACCUUUACUAUAGCUUGACACUGAACAUUGAGCCUUGAUGUGUAGGAUAGGUGGGAGGCUUUGAAGCGUGGACGCCAGUCUGCGUGGAGCCAACCUUGAAAUACCACCCUUUAAUGUUUGAUGUUCUAACGUUGGCCCCUUACCGGGGUUGCGGACAGUGUCUGGUGGGUAGUUUGACUGGGGCGGUCUCCUCCCAAAGCGUAACGGAGGAGCACGAAGGUUAGCUAAUCCUGGUCGGACAUCAGGAGGUUAGUGCAAUGGCAUAAGCUAGCUUGACUGCGAGCGUGACGGCGCGAGCAGGUGCGAAAGCAGGUCAUAGUGAUCCGGUGGUUCUGAAUGGAAGGGCCAUCGCUCAACGGAUAAAAGGUACUCCGGGGAUAACAGGCUGAUACCGCCCAAGAGUUCAUAUCGACGGCGGUGUUUGGCACCUCGAUGUCGGCUCAUCACAUCCUGGGGCUGAAGUAGGUCCCAAGGGUAUGGCUGUUCGCCAUUUAAAGUGGUACGCGAGCUGGGUUUAGAACGUCGUGAGACAGUUCGGUCCCUAUCUGCCGUGGGCGCUGGAGAAUUGAGGGGGGCUGCUCCUAGUACGAGAGGACCGGAGUGGACGCAUCACUGGUGUUCGGGUUGUCAUGCCAAUGGCACUGCCCGGUAGCUAAAUGCGGAAGAGAUAAGUGCUGAAAGCAUCUAAGCACGAAACUUGCCCCGAGAUGAGUUCUCCCUGAGACUUUAAGUCUCCUGAAGGAACGUUAAAGACGAUGACGUUGAUAGGCCGGGUGUGUAAGCGCAGCGAUGCGUUGAGCUAACCGGUACUAAUGAACCGUGAGGCUUAACCUUACAACGCCGAAG